AAACAAAAACCAGAUGCUCCGCAGGGCGUAGCUUUAUACGACCGCAGAGGUUGAACCCUGAACGGUUGGGGCAAGUAUGGACACAACAUUCAAGCUGGAUUCAGCUCUAAAUUUGGAUUGUGAUUAAAUAGUUGACACAGCAUAGGUUUCUGACACAGAAUGAAUGUGUUCUAAUGAACUUAAUUUUUUUGUUUUCUCUUAGAGCAAUUCACUAUGCUGUUGAAUAUUAAUCCUCUCAAAACAAG
rnacentral:lncRNA from 1 species